UACGAAGGGGGCUAGCGUUGCUCGGAAUCACUGGGCGUAAAGGGUGCGUAGGCGGGUCUUUUAAGUCAGAGGUGAAAUCCUGGAGCUCAACUCCAGAACUGCCUUUGAUACUGAGGAUCUUGAGUUCGGGAGAGGUGAGUGGAACUGCGAGUGUAGAGGUGAAAUUCGUAGAUAUUCGCAAGAACACCAGUGGCGAAGGCGGCUCACUGGCCCGAUACUGACGCUGAGGCACGAAAAGCGUGGGGGAGCGAACAGG
rnacentral:rRNA from 1 species